AGCGCAACCCUUAUUACUAGUUGCCAUCAUUAAGUUGGGCACUCUAGUGAGACUGCCGGUGAUAAACCGGAGGAAGGUGGGGAUGACGUCAAAUCAUCAUGCCCCUUAUGACCUGGGCUACACACGUGCUACAAUGGAUGGUACAACGAGUCGCCAACCCGCGAGGGUGCGCUAAUCUCUUAAAACCAUUCUCAGUUCGGAUUGCAGGCUGCAACUCGCCUGCAUGAAGUCGGAAUCGCUAG
rnacentral:rRNA from 1 species